UACAGAGGCCCCAAGUGUUGUUCGGAAUUAUUGGGCGUAAAGGGUGAGUAGGCGGAGGGAACAGUCAAAUCAAAAAUCCAGACGCUCAACGUUUGAUUCGGAUUCGAUACUUUCCCCCUAGGGCACUAAAGAGGGCGCUUGAAUUCACAGUGUAGCAGUGAAAUGCGUAGAUAUUGUGAGGAACACCAAUGGCGAAAGCAUGCGUCUAGUUAGUUGCCGACGCUGAAUCACGAAGGCUAGGGUAGCAAACGGG
rnacentral:rRNA from 1 species